rnacentral:rRNA from 1 species
ACUCCUACGGGAGGCAGCAGUGGGAAUAUUGGACAAUGGGCGCAAGCCUGAUCCAGCAAUGCCGCGUGAGUGAUGAAGGCCUUAGGGUUGUAAAGAUCUUUACCGGAUGAUAAUGACAGUACCGGGAGAAUAAGCCGCUAGCUACCGUGCCAGCAGCCGCGGUAAUACGGAGGGGGUAGCGUUGUUCGGAAUUACUGGGCGUAAAGCGCACGUAGGCGGCUUUGUAAGUUAGAGGUGAAAGCCUGGAGCUCAACUCCAGAACUGCCUUUAAGACUGCAUCGCUUGAAUCCAGGAGAGGUGAGUGGAAUUCCGAGUGUAGAGGUGAAAUUCGUAGAUAUUCGGAAGAACACCAGUGGCGAAGGCGGCUCACUGGACUGGUAUUGACGCUGAGGUGCGAAAGCGUGGGGAGGCAAACAGGAUUAGAUACCCUGGUAGGCUCUGC